rnacentral:rRNA from 1 species
AUUGAACGCUGGCGGUAGGCCUAACACAUGCAAGUCGAGCGGCAGCAGAGUAAUUGCUUCUGGAUACAGCGGCCGAGGGGCGAGUGGUGCAUAGGAACAUGCCAAUCUGCGUUUGCGAACGUGCUGAAGUGGGCGCUCUUACCGUAAUAGCCCAGACGACGUACGGGGGGGAUCUUCGGAUCUUCCGCUCUUGGGUGAGCCAAGGUCGGAUUAGCUAGUUGGCGGGGUAAAGGCCUACCAAGGCGACGAUCCGUAACUGGUCUGAGAGGAUGAUCAGUCACACUGGAACUGAGACACGGUCCAGACUCCUACGGGAGGCAGCAGUGGGGAAUAUUGGACAAUGGGCGAAAGCCUGAUCCAGCCAUGCCGCGUGUGUGAAGAAGGUCUUCGGAUUGUAAAGCACUUUUAUUGGGAAAGAAGAGCAGUAGGUUAAUACCUUGCUGUUUUGACGGUACCAAAAGAAUAAGCACCGGCUAACUUCGUG